GGCCUCGUAGCUCCAUUGGCUAGAGCGUUGGUUGUGCUAAAGCCUUCACCUUGCUGACGUGGGUUCAAAUCCCACCGAGGCCG
rnacentral:tRNA from 1 species